rnacentral:rRNA from 1 species
UACGUAGGGGGCAAGCGUUGUCCGGAUUUAUUGGGCGUAAAGAGCGUGUAGGCGGUUUGGUAGGUCCGUUGUGAAAACUCGAGGCUCAACCUCGAGACGCCGGUGGAAACCAUCAGACUAGAGUCCGGAAGAGGAGAGUGGAAUUCCUGGUGUAGCGGUGAAAUGCGCAGAUAUCAGGAAGAACACCCGUGGCUAAGGCGGCUCUCUAGUAGGGUACUGACGCUGAGACGCGAAAGCGUGGGGAGCGAACAGG